ensembl:miRNA gga-mir-6595 gga-mir-6595
AAUGAGUAUGGCCUGAGCGUUUCCGAUGAGAUGAUGAAUCCUUUCUGAUCAAAGUGAAUGGAAGGAUUCAAUUAUUUUGGAUUCUGAUGCGUUUCAGACUGAGUCUAGAG